UAGAUCAUGUAGAGAAAAUUU
ensembl:piRNA 21ur-10774 ncRNA